rnacentral:lncRNA from 1 species
CUCUCUCUUCCUCUCUGGGGCUUGUGUUGGAGCUCUAACGAUGGGGAUCAGCGGGUGGCGCCGUGGGCGGAUCAUUGGCAGGGGGACCUCCGCUACCGUCUCGCUCGCCACCUCGGUGUCCUCGGGCGACGUCUUCGCGGUCAAGUCGUCGGAGCUCUCUCGCUCUUGGCUCCUGCAGAGGGAGCAGAGGAUCCUCUCCGCGCUCGAUUCGCCGUUCGUCGUCUCUUAUUUUGGUUUCGACGUCGCCGCCCAGACGCCAGGAGCAGGUCUCUGCUAUAAUCUUUUCAUGGAGUACGCUGCCCGGGGCUCGCUGUCCGACGAGAUCAGGAAGCAGGGCGGUCGGCUUGACGAGCUCGCCAUCCGAUCCUACGCAUGCGACAUCCUCGGCGGGCUGGCCUACCUGCAUUCCAACGGCGUCUUCCAUUGCGAUCUGAAGAGCCAGAACGUCUUGAUAUGCUCCGGUGGGCGGGCCAAGGUUGCGGACUUUGGGUGUGCGCGGAGCGCAGAGGAGGAGGACGAGGACGAGAGGGGAUGGAUGAGGGGCACGCCGAUGUUCAUGGCGCCGGAGGUCGCGCGGGGGGAAGAGCAGAGCGCGCCAGCUGAUAUCUGGGCCCUGGGAUGCACCGUCAUCGAGAUGGCCACCGGUCGACCCCCAUGGCCGCUCGUCUCGGACGCCCUUAGCGCUCUCCACCAGAUCGCCUUCGCCACCGACGUGCCUGAGUUCCCGCGAUGGAUCUCCGAGGAGGGAAGGGACUUCUUGAGCAGGUGCUUGAGGAGGGAUCCUCUGGAGCGGUGGACGGCGGAGCAGCUGCUCCAACACCCGUUCGUUGCCGCGUCUCGUGUCGCCAAUCCUCCAUCGAAAUCCGACUGGAUUUCUCCUAAAAGCACUCUCGAUCAGGCCUUCUUGCAGUCGCUUUCCGACGACGACGACGACGACGACGGCCAGGUGCUGGACCAAACAGAGGAGGACCCAUUCGAGAGGAUGCAGAGCCUAAUCGGAGACGCUGCUCCCAACUGGACGUGGGAUGAGACCUGGGCGACGGUGCGAAGUAAUGGCGGCUUUCCGGUGACCGAAUCCAUCACCGAAGACGGGAGAUCAACAAAUCCAAUCACGGAUAGCAGCGAACAACUCAUGCUCAGCACGAACCCCAUGGAGACAGGGCAUGUCGGUGGCAACAGAUCAAGCGACCAUAACUUAUCUGAAACUAGUGUUCUUCCAAUAGCGGAGGGACGCAUCCUCCUCAAAUGUAAAACAGAGAAUUGUACAUUCGAGAAUGCCAACUUUUCCUUGAUGAACAACAAGGAACGCACUCGAGCUCCUUUUGGCCAUCGAACUCCAAUCUUUCCAUCUGUGAUGUCCAAUUCCGAGCUACGGAUUAAUGCGCAGCUACAGCUCCUUAGUCACUAGAAAACAAAAACUGGUUACCGCGCAUAGAACGGCGAUCACGUUGACACGAAUGGAGUAAACGGGGGGAAACAGCGGUGGGUGCUACAAAUCUGUCGGUGUCAAUGGUGUAGGAAACUACAGAAGAUGGCGGCGUGGAGCAAUGCAAGUUACAGUUUUCCGGCCUUGGCUUCAACGCACCACGCUCGGCACAUGAUUCGUGCCAUUGUUUUGAGCCACGAAUCUAAUAGACCACCGACAAGUAAAUUAGAAUUAUAUUAAGACCGGCAGCCGUAUUCGGUCCGUCGUCCCUUCGGCGAUGGGCUGACGCUUGAUGACGUAGAAUUCGUUCGUCAUAUCAGGUAGGUAAUAGUCGACAGGAUGACGUCAGGGAUCUGUAUACCAACAUUAAAUAAUAAUAAUAAUAAUAAUUAUAGCUAAGAGUCUCGACAGGUAUAAGAUAAUGUUACCUAAUCUUCGCACUUGGCACGACGAUUCGAUUCAAAUCGAAACGAAAUGAACUGAAAUUAAAAUUAACUCGAUCUAGUUGUUCAUCGAGUCUAAGUUAAAUUAGAACCGGUAAGAUUGUUCGGUUUUAAUUCUUAAGUUUGAAAAAUCGAAAUGAUUGAUUAGAUGAUUGAAAAAAAUUUGACAGUCAAAUAAGGCAAUUCAAAAAAGCCAAAGUCAAAGUUAAAAAUCUUCACGCUACAUUUCAAGAUGAUAACUUUCCGAAAGAAUAUUGAGAAGAAACAUCUAACAUAAGUUAGAAUUAAAAAAGUCAUGUAAAUUUUUGAGUAUCAUAUUAAUUUUACUUUUUUAUUUUUCUAUUAAAAAUUCAUAAAACACUAGUAAAAUUAAUUUUCAUUGAAUAUUUAUCUUUUUUGUUUCAGUAAAAUAUUUAUUUUGUUGACUAUUGCCAAGAGGCUUUAAAACCCACUGCUCAAAGAAUUUCUCGAACCACUAAAUUUAUAUAAUUUUAAUAAAAAAAAAGAUAUAUGAAUAAAAACUAAGCUUUUGAUCGAUAUGUUUCUAUUUAUAUUGAUAUUUAGGAUGAUCAGUGACAAAUACACUCCUACAUAAGAAUCAAUUAUCAUGAAUUAUUGCUUUUUAUAGCUUUUGAUGAAUGACACUCAACCAAUAAUAUUUAUAGAAUGAUAAAAAUAAUUUUAGAAGAAUGUUAUUUGAUUCUUAAAAUUUUUACUAUUGGUUUUGAUAAUACAAUGAUAAAUAUUAUUUUUAUUUUGGAAUUACAAGAAGUAUGUCAAUCGGAUUUAUGUUUCUUUCUUUCAUCAAGUAAUUUAUUUCAUCAAGCAAUUUAUAAACUAAAUGAUAAAAUACUCAGAAAUUGAUUUAGGGAACCUAUGCGGGUCCCGAGUGUGGGACCACAAACAUUAUGUUCAUUAAUGGGAUUGAUCACUGCAAGUAUAUCAUCCGUCCAAAUCUGUAAUGAAUGGAGUCGUUCAAGUCUAUUAUUGUACCACCGAGUGGAAUCAGCAUUGUUGAAUUCUUGAGCAUCGAAUCCCUAUUUUUCUUUCUCUUUCUUCAUAAUUAUUUUUGAGUAACGAACGACUUUAUGUAGAUCUAUGAUCAGUAGCAGUUUCCCAUGGGUUCGGUAAACUUAAUUGAUGCUUACGACAUUGAUGAUUUAGUGACACGAGUCGUUCAUCACAAUUUGGAUGGAUCGAUGAUCUAUAUUCGAAACAUUACGAUGGAGUCCUCCGUGGUUACACGUACUCGCAACAUAAGCUAAUCCCUCUCGACGAUGGUUAAUACUAAGCACAUCUAAAUUCCAAGAUAUCAUACCAUCAUUAUGAGUUUUCAAAGGAUCUAUAACAUCAUAAUGUGGUAAAGGACAUUUAUACCGAGUGAUAUCUCAAACUCAAAUCGAGAUUUUGUCUCCACCCGAUCCAAUAAAUUCAUAUCUUGUGAAAGUGCACUUGUGAUCCAAAUUAGACAUGCAAGCCUUGUUUAUGUUCAUGCAUGCACACAGCUGCAUGUCCGAUUCAUGAUAUGGCCGCUCCCCUAACACAGAUGCAACGAAUCCACGAGCGUCUUUUAGGUUAUAAAUCGAGGAACCAUCCCAACCAUGUCUUGUCCAAAGUGGCUUUGCAUUCCACACUAGGUGGGCGACCUAAAACUCACCGAAUCUACUCGAGUCAAAGACUUAGCUGGGCGACCUAACAGCCUUUGCUCCAUCCAACGCCACGGGGAGACUUCUCAGAAGUCAACGGCCCGUUGGUUUGGUUGUCGGAUUUGGAGCACGUGGAAAAAACCACGAAGUGUCGGCUGCGACUUCCAUCCGCUCCCGUUUCACACCGGAUGGCUCGGAAACGUGAACCAUGCGUUCCGACACUGUCACCAGUUGCCGAUCGGGCCCCACUCACAGCUCAGUAUAGGAAAAAUCUGCGGUAGUCGUACUUCCAUGGUUACUUGAUGACUUGUGACUGCUUCUAUUCUUGUCGUAUAUAUAUCGUCUUCAUUUGUGGCUAUUGAGAACGCGAUGCUCGGUCACGGCAUCGUAGACCAAUGGCUGCUAAUAGUGAAUGUAAUGUGGCAGGAAUGGCUUCGUUUUUCGACACGUGGACCGGUGAACGCGGACGCGGCCUUCUUUCAACGCGAGCGUGGACGGCCGCCUCGGAGGAGCAUUGACUUUUGGAGAAGCCACAGAGGACGCGCUCUUCCUUGCUUUUUAUAUCGGCUACCUCCCCGCGCACAAAGUCGUCCAUCUCUUUCCUCUCUCUCGCUCGUGUUGGAGUUCUAACGAUGGGGAUCAGCGGGUGGCGCCGUGGGCGGAUCAUUGGCCGGGGGACCUCCGCUACCGUCUCGCUCGCCACUUCGGUGCCCUCGGGGGAGGUCUUCGCGGUCAAGUCGUCGGAGCUCUCUCGCUCUUGGCUCCUGCAGAGGGAGCAGAGGAUCCUCUCUGCGCUGGAUUCGCCGUUCGUCGUCUCUUAUUUUGGUUUCGACGUCGCCGCCCAGACGCCCG